AGAUGCUCUUCAAGAGCACAGUGCUGACAGAAAGUAAAACAUAAAUGCAGAUGGAGCAAACGUCCAAAAGGAGAAUUGUUUCACCAGGCAAGGAAUUGGUUAAGCUGUUGGAAGUCAGCUGGGUGUUAAUGGAGAAGUGGAUAAAGGCAAGCAGCUGGUGCAAGUGGUAUUGAAACUCCCUUCUGAGGUGUUUUAAACAUGAGUCAACAACUGGAGACAUUGAGCCUGGAGCUGUCAGCAGAACAAGCAAAUGGCAUCCCCACUGUACAGAAAGGAAUGUGGAGAGGCAGCAGUAGUGGAAGAGAAAGGAAGGAGUCAGCACAGCAUCUCUACUGGACUGAACCAGAGGCACUGGAAUACACUGGGACCCUUCUGAUGAAUGGACUUCAACAUAUCCUGAACCCAGCCAGCAUCAGCAAGAGGCACUCCAACACCCUUCCCCACUCCGUCCUGAAUCAGAAGAGGAUUUGUAAAACAAUGAAUGGAAAAAGCAGAAAAUAAUUGAGUUAG
rnacentral:lncRNA from 14 species